rnacentral:ncRNA from 1 species
GAAAUAUUUGGUUCUGGUAUACUGUUAGCUAUAGAGUUUUUUACAUUACACAAUGUAGGAUAAUUUCAUAAUGUAAGACAAUCUGUUUCACGUGAUAAGCUAAUAGAUAGCUGCCUUAAUGGCCAUAUGUAGUAACAGUAGCAUAAGCUUUAGGCGAUGACGCAAGAAUAACUACAACUCAAGUGGGUAGAUCUGGAAAUCAAUGAGUUUUGGCUUGAAACGAAUAAAAAACUAAUUAUAUUGAAGCUAAGGAGGGUGCCAGCAGCUGCGGUCAUUCCCUCUAUCAACGAGCUAACAAGGGUGCAGCUUAGAGGCAGUUAGUCAACUUAGGGGGGCAAGACAUACAGUAAGGACAAUGGGUGAAAUCUCAGUCUUACGGGAGGUCCAAAUCUUGCAUAAAGAUGAGUCUGCGAAGUUAUAGGGUAUAGACCCGGAUUUGGUACCCGGUUAUUCCAUAAUGUUAAGUAUAAUUACCUUAAAGAAUUGGUAGUUUGCUAGGGGUACUACGAGCAACUGCUUAAAACUCGAAGAACUUGGCGGUUCCGCAAAACCAUCCAGAGGCUCUUGGCGCUUAAUCCGAUGAUCCGCGAGAUAUCUUACCUGCCCGAUAGAAAGCAGUGUACUGCCGUCGAAAGCUUAUAAUGUGAGUAGAUGGGAAUAGGCUUAAUCUUGGAGUCUUGAGAAAUUGAAACUUUACCGAGGCUAGGUCAGGUCGUAGUGCUCUUUAUGGGCAAGGGGUAAGCUGAGAGACAACUAUUUUAGACAUACAAAGGCUUUAAGGAUGAAACUCUUUUAGCGUAUACUAGGAUUUGGGAGUAAAAAAAGAGUAACUCGUUUUUUUGAAAUGACGCAACUGCGGUGCGUUCAAAUCGCCCGUCACCCUAGCCGAAAGGAGAGGUAAGUCGUAACAUGGUAAGGGUAGGGGAACUUGCUCUUUUAAUACA